UACGAAGGGAGCUAGCGUUGUUCGGAAUUACUGGGCGUAAAGGGCGCGUAGGCGGUUCGACAAGUUGGAUGUGAAAGCCCUGGGCUCAACCCGGGAAUUGCAUUCAAGACUGUCUUGCUUGAAUUCGGUAGAGGUUGGUAGAAUUCCCAGUGUAGAGGUGAAAUUCGUAGAGAUUGGGAAGAAUACCCGUGGCGAAGGCGGCCAACUGGACCGACAUUGACGCUGAGGCGCGAAAGCGUGGGGAUCAAACAGG
rnacentral:rRNA from 1 species